rnacentral:rRNA from 1 species
AUUGAACGCUGGCGGCAUGCCUAACACAUGCAAGUCGAACGGUAACGCGGGGGCAACCCUGGCGACGAGUGGCGGACGGGUGAGUAAUACGUAGGAAUCUGCCCAUUUGUGGGGGAUAACCCGGCGAAAGCCGGGCUAAUACCGCAUACGCUCUACGGAGGAAAGCAGGGGAUCGUAAGACCUUGCGCUAAUGGAUGAGCCUACGUCGGAUUAGCUAGUUGGUAGGGUAACGGCCUACCAAGGCGACGAUCCGUAGCUGGUCUGAGAGGACGAUCAGCCAAACUGGGACUGAGACACGGCCCAGAAUCCUACGGGAGGAAGCAGUGGGGAAUAUUGGACAAUGGGGCAACCCUGAUCCAGCAAUGCCGCGUGUGUGAAGAAGGCCUGCGGGUUGUAAAGCACUUUCAGAGGGGAAGAAAAAAUCGGAGCUAACACCUCCGAGCUUGACGUUACCCUUAGAAGAAGCACCGGCUAACUCCGUGCCAGCAGCCGCCGUAAUAC